GAUGAACGCUAGCGGGAGGCCUAACACAUGCAAGCCGAGCGGUAGAGUUUCUUCGGAAACUUGAGAGCGGCGCACGGGUGCGUAACACGUGUGCAACCUACCUUUAUCUGGGGGAUAGCCUUUCGAAAGGAAGAUUAAUACCCCAUAAUAUAAUGAUUGGCAUCAAUUAUUAUUGAAAACUCCGGUGGAUAGAGAUGGGCACGCGCAAGAUUAGAUAGUUGGUGAGGUAACGGCUCACCAAGUCAAUGAUCUUUAGGGGUCCUGAGAGGGAGAUCCCCCACACUGGUACUGAGACACGGACCAGACUCCUACGGGAGGCAGCAGUGAGGAAGAUUGGACAAUGGGUGAGAGCCUGAUCCAGCCAUCCCGCGUGAAGGAUGACGGCCCUAUGGAUUGUAAACUUCUUUUGUACAGGGAUAAACCUACCCCCGUGAGGGUAGCUGAAGGUACUGUAAGAAUAAGCACCGGCUAACUCCGUG
rnacentral:rRNA from 1 species